rnacentral:rRNA from 1 species
YAGGCUCGUGUGGANGNGNAGCGUUUGUCGGGGCGACUUCUUCCUCUGGCCCGGCCCGGGCCUAGGGGCUGAGGGCGCCCGCGAACGCCUCCCCGCCUGCGGAUUUCUCCGCGCGGCUGAGGAAGGAGAGAAGUACGGCAGCCCGUGGGCCGGCCCUAGGGGCCCCAGCGAGCGCCUUUUUCUUGCCGAGGUGGGCCCCGGAAUCCGGCCGCUGGCUGCCUAGCGCUGCAAGAUGGCCCCCUCUUCACGCAGUGAGGCUGCGGCCUGCUUGUCGCGGAGCUUCCCACCGCGAGGGCCUGGCCCCCAGUGGGAGGGCCUGGCCCCCAGUGGGGUGGCCGGCGCUCUUGCGGUAGGGAACGAAGCCCGGGCGGUGCCGCGCGCCGCUUUGAACUUAGAGGGGAAAGCGGGAAAGCCUUGGUGGGCAUAAGGGUCU